CAUCCCUGCUGUUUUUUUGCUCUUUAUCUAUUAUCAAUAUUUGUUUGCUAUUAAUCAGUUAUCUAUUAAUGCCUACUGUAGAAGUCCCAUAGGGUCAUACUAUUUGCUUUUUUUUCCCCACCACUCUCUUAUGUUCCUCCCAUUUGAACCCAGGAAUACCCUGCUCUUGCCUGAAUCAUGUUUCCUGCUUGGAUAUGAUGUAUUUUCUCAGGGAUUUUUUUAAGCAGUCUUUGCCGUAGGUCUUUCCAGGGUUGAGCCAUCACCUUUGUGGUUGAUCCCUCCCGCCUCUCUCAUGGACUCUUCACUACCAGACGUAGCAACAGGUUUCCUGACUCUAUAUGGCCAAAAGAUUGUGGAAACCUGACCA
ensembl:lncRNA